UACAGAGGGGGCCAGCGUUAUUCGGAAUUAUUGGGCGUAAAGGGCGCGUAGGCGGCCAUGCGUGUCUUCCGUGAAAUCCCUCGGCUCAACCGAGGACGUGCGGAAGAAACUGCAAGGCUCGAGUCCGGAAGAGGGGGGCGGAAUUCCCAGUGUAGCGGUGAAAUGCGUAGAUAUUGGGAGGAACACCAGUGGCGAAGGCGGUCCCCUGGGCCGGAACUGACGCUGAGGCGCGAAAGCGUGGGUAGCAAACAGG
rnacentral:rRNA from 1 species